AAGCUGGAUAUGAGUCAACAGUGUGCUCUUGUUGCCAAGAAGGCUAACGGCAUUUUGGGCUGUAUAAGUAGGGGCAUUGCCAGCAGAUCGAGGAACGUGAUCGUUCCCCUUUAUUCGACAUUGGUGAGGCCUCAUCUGGAAUACUGUGUCCAGUUUUGGGCCACACACUACAAGAAGGAUGUGGAAAAAUUGGAAAGAGUCCAGCGGAGGGCAACAAAAAUGAUUAGGGGUCUGGAGCACAUGACUUAUGAGGGGAGGCUGAGGGAACUGGGAUUGUUUAGUCUCCAGAAGAGAAGAAUGAGGGGGGAUUUGAUAGCAGCCUUCAACUACCUGAAGGGGGGUUCCAAAGAGGAUGGAGCUCGGCUGUUCUCAGUGGUGGCAGAUGACAGAACAAGGAGCAAUGGUCUCAAGUUGCAGUGGGGGAGGUCCAGGUUGGAUAUCAGGAAAAACUAUUUCACUAGGAGGGUGGUGAAACACUGGAAUGCGUUACCAAGGAAGGUGGUGGAGUCUCCUUCCUUGGAGGUUUUUAAGGCCCGGCUUGACAAAGCCCUGGCUGGGAUGAUUUAGCUGGGAAUUGGUCCUGCUUUGAGCAGGGGGUUGGACUAGAUGACCUCUUGAGGUCCCUUCCAACUCUGAUAUUCUAUGAUUCUAUGAUUCUAACAUCAGGGGGAGCGAACACAAAAAAAAGGCGCCACCCGACAUAUCAAAUUACUAAUUACAUACUUUUAAAUUAGUUAAAUUCGUUUUUUGUGACCAGGGGCUGCUAACAGGGAGUUUCGCAAGGGAGUUCUCCAGGUGAAGGAGGAGCAAAUACAGGACCCUUAGGAGUAAAAAGGAAACAUGAACUAUUAAGGAGAACAAAAAAGAGACCAAAACAACUACUACUUAUGCUGAUGACGCAGAUGCAUGAAUACUGAAAACAAUUAUAGUAAUUCAACUAUAGAGCACAGGAAUUGCCAUUCUGGAUCUCACCAGUAGUCCAUCUAGCCAGUAUUCUGUUAUAGACAGUGUCCAACACCAGAUGCUUCAGAGGAAGGUGCAAGAAACCCUUCAAUAGGCAGUUAUGGGAUAACUUGCCCUCAGAAUCUCCUUUUAACCCCCAAUAAUUAGAGAUUUGCUUGUGCCCUAAAGUAUGAGUGUUUAUUUUCCUUCCCAAAUUAUUGUUUAUUCUUUUAAUAUUUGCUGUAACAACUCUGAAUAUCCUUGUUAACCAUAUACAGGUCAACUUUUUUUUUUAAUCCUAAGGUCUUGGCCUCAGUGCUUAAAUGUGCUACAGAGUUCCACAGGUUAAUUGUGUUGUGUGAAGAAUAAUAUCCUCUCAUCAGUUUUGAGUUUGCCAUCUUUCAAUAGCUCUCAGUUUUUGUGUUAUGAGAGUGAAUGGAAGGUCCCUGUCUACCCUCUCUAGAGCAUUUUAUCAUGUCUCCUUAUUCAUCUCCUGGGAUAACCUCAUUCUUUUCAAUCAUGAGUAUUUCCAUGCCUCUAAUAAUUUGCACUGUCCAUCUCUGAACCCCCUCUUCUUAUGCUGUACCAUUUGUAGUUGGGAUGACUUGAAUUGAACACAGCAAUCUAGGUGAAGCAUAUAAUUGAUUUAUAUAAUGAUAUAAAAUAUUUAUCAUUUUUUGAAAAUUUUCCUCAGACAUCCUAGUGUUUUGACUGCUGCUGCACAUUAAGCAGAGAUGUUCACACUGAAGCUCAAAUGUUUUCCCUGAAUUAAUAGUUAAUUUAGAUCCUAGUAAGUUGUACAAGUAGUUCAGAUUAUUUCCUCCACUGUGCAUUACUUUGCAUUAGUCAGCUUUGCAUUUCAUGAGGCAUCAUGUUGUCAAUUUACCUUGUGUGAUUAAGUCCAUCUGAAGUUCUUCAGUUUUCUCCAGUGUUGACCACUCAAGUAAUUUUGUGUCAUCUGCAGAUUUUGCUACUUCAUUGCUUUACCAACUUUUCCAGAUAAUCAAUAAAUAUAUUAUACAACA